rnacentral:lncRNA from 10 species
GCGUGAUUGGAGAGUCACAAAUGGAAAGAAAUACUAUAAUCAGUGGAGAGAAGAUGUGCACAGCUAUACAAGUGUAUGGUUCUGUGACAUACCACGAGGUGGGGGUGGACCUUUAUGACAUCUUCUCCCAGCAACCCCACAUAUUUCCCUUGCCCUCAGUGGGUCAGGAGUCUCCUGCUUGGCCUCAUCUUCGAAUCUGAAGCCUCUGAGUUCUGAAUAGUUCAGCCCCCUACUUUUUUAGAUGCCUCUGUGGCAAACCUUUGUUAUCUGACUUUUCUUUUAUUUGACAGAGCCUCGCUCUGUCGCCCAGGUUGGAGUGCAGUGGUGUGAUCUCGGCUGACUGCAAGUCCCGCCUCCUGGGUUCACGCCAUUCUCCUGCCUCAGCCUCCUGAGUAGCUGGGGACUACAGGCGCCUGCUACCACGCCCAGCUAAUUUUUUGUACUUUUAGUAGAGACGGGGUUUCACCGUGUUAGCCAGGAUUGUCUGGAUCUCCUGACCUCGUAAUCCACCCACCUGGCCUCCCAAAGUGCUAGGAUUACAGGUGUGAGCCACGGCGCCCUGAGGACUGGCAGACCCAUCUGACUUUCUUGGAGUAGAGGAGGAAGAGGAGGAAGAAGAGGUGCAGGAGGAAGACCAGGGUGUGGCUGACAUCUAGCUGGAUGCAGUGGAUGAUUCUGGAGGACCUCUUGCCCUUCUCCUUCAUGACCUGUAGGGCAGGGCCAAGAGGAGGAAGCAGCCUCAGAACAGACAAAAGACUCCCUGCCCCAAACGGCAGUCAUCCCACAGUCAGCACUUCUGGAAGGAAGGAAGGAAGGUUUCCUUCUGCAGAAAGCUCCUUUUUACCUUGUUUCUGACACCAGGGAGGGUCAGCAGAGCCCAGCGCACCUGUGGUGCCUGAGUUACCAUCUAUGCCCAGGAUGUGCG